UUGUUGCUAUUUUUAUGUUUAUGCGAGGCCGAUCUUUUGGGGCCGUGAGUCAAUUUGCUGUAGAUACUCUUAUCGACGGUUUUGAUGUAACAAAAGAUUUUGUUAGCUAGUUUCGUUGCGCUCGUUGGCGGAGUUUGCCGCAACUGAGGACUUGAUCAGGGUCCUGGUUUUUGGUCGACUGUCGUAGUUUUACGAUAGGAGAUCCGAUAUGCUCGAACAGCAAUGUCUAAGAACUGUAUUUAUUAAGGUGUCGGAUUCUAGUUUGUUACAGAUUUGAAAAGGAAAGCAGCUUAAUAUUGUCGUGCCAUUGUCCCUCGGGUGUUGUUAUAUGUUUACUUCGAGCUUUGAAGUUGGAGGGUGACUGUACUCGUGU
rnacentral:lncRNA from 1 species